UCCCUGGUAGUCCAAUGGUUAAGACUUGGCACUGUCACUGCCAGGGCCCAGGUUCAGUUCCUGGUCGGGGAA